UACGUAGGAUGCGAGCGUUUGUCCGGAAUUAUUGGGCGUAAAGCGAACGUAGGCGGCCUUUUAAGUCUGGUCUUAAAGACCGGGGCUCAACCCCGGGAGUGGACUGGAAACUGGGAGGCUGGAGGACGUCAGAGGGAAGUGGAAUUCCAAGUGUAGCGGUGAAAUGCGCAGAUAUCAGGAGGAACACCGGUGGCGAAGGCGGGUCUCUGGGCCGAUACUGACGCUGGAGGAGCGAAAGCGUGGGGAGCGAACAGG
rnacentral:rRNA from 1 species